CCUACGGGUGGCAGCAGUGGGGAAUAUUGGGCAAUGGGCGCAAGCCUGACCCAGCAAUGCCGCGUGAAGGAAGAAGGCUUUCGGGUUGUAAACUUCUUUUACAGGGGAAGAGCAGAAGACGGUACCCUGCAACCAAGCCACGGCUAACUACGUGCCAGCAGCCUCGGUAAUACGGAGGUGGCAAGCGUUGUCCGGAUUUACUGGGUGUAAAGGGCGUGUAUGCGGGAAGGCAAGUCAGAUGUGAAAUCUGUGGGCUCAACCUCCAAAUUGCAUUUGAAACUGUUUUUCUUGAGUACUGGAGAGGAAGACGGAAUGCCUUGUGUAGCGGUGAAAUGCGUAGAUAUAAGGAGGAACACCAGUGGCGAAGGCGGUCUGCUGGACAGCAACUGACGGUGAGGCGCGAAAGCGUGGGGAGCAAACAGGAUUAGAUACCCUUGUAGUC
rnacentral:rRNA from 1 species